rnacentral:rRNA from 1 species
CAAGGAAGGCAGCAGGCGCGCAAAUUACCCACUCCCGGCACGGGGAGGUAGUGACGAAAAAUAACGAUACGGGACUCAUCCGAGGCCCCGUAAUCGGAAUGAGUACACUUUAAAUCCUUUAACGAGGAUCAAUUGGAGGGCAAGUCUGGUGCCAGCAGCCGCGGUAAUUCCAGCUCCAAUAGCGUAUAUUAAAGUUGUUGCGGUUAAAAAGCUCGUAGUCGAAUCUGUGUCGUGCGCCGCCGGUUCAUCGCUCGCGGUGUCAACUGGCGUGUCGCAGGACGUCCUGCCGGUGGACUUAGCCGCGUCGUCGUCUCGCGCGGCGUCGUGGCGGUCCAACUUCAACAAUCCCACCGCGGUGCUCUUCGCUGAGUGUCGAGGUGGGCCGGCACGUUUACUUUGAACAAAUUAGAGUGCUUAAAGCAGGCUAAAAUUUCGCCUGAAUACUGUGUGCAUGGAAUAAUGGAAUAGGACCUCGGUUCUAUUUUGUUAGUUUUCGGAACCCCGAGGUAAUGAUUAAUAGGAACGGAUGGGGGCAUUCGUAUUGCGACGUUAGAGGUGAAAUUCUUGGAUCGUCGCAAGACGGACUUAAGCGAAAGCAUUUGCCAAAAACGCUUUCAUUGAUCAAGAACGAAAGUUAGAGGUUCGAAGGCGAUCAGAUACCGCCCUAGUUCUAACCAUAAACGAUGCCAGCUAGCGAUCCGCCGACGUUCCUCCGAUGACUCGGCGGGCAGCUUCCGGGAAACCAAGCUUUUGGGUUCCGGGGGAA